UACGUAGGUGACAAGCGUUGUCCGGAUUUACUGGGCGUAAAGAGCGCGCAGGCGGUCGUUCAAGUCGAGUGUGAAAGCCCCCGGCUCAACUGGGGAGGGUCAUUCGAUACUGAUCGACUCGAAGGCAGGAGAGGGAAGUGGAAUUCCCGGUGUAGUGGUGAAAUGCGAUAGAUAUCGGGAGGAACACCAGUGGCGAAGGCGGCGUUCGUGAGCUGCAACUGACACUGAAAGACGAAAGCCCAGGGGAGCAAA
rnacentral:rRNA from 1 species